AAUGUUUUCAUUUUAAUGUUUAUUUUUACAUUCAUCUUUAAAAAAUUAUGAUUUUUUUUUCCAGUAUAUUAUACAUAACCAUCUAUUCACCUAAAAAAAUAUAUAUAUGUAAUGGAUGAUGUCCUGUUAUAAUGACAAAAUAACAAAGCAGGGGUUUCUUAUCACCCUGAAGGAGUUUAUUACAAAGAGUAAACAGAAUAGAGUUUAUAAACAAACUGGCUGUACAUUAUCACUAAAUAGAAAAUAAAUACUGAUUCAAGCUGAAAUUAUUUCAUUACGUGAAAAAAAGAAAACAAAUAGACCCCAGAGUGAUAUGAAAUACAUGAAACUAGCACAGCUACUGUAAAAAAUUUCUGUAAAUUUACAGCAUAUUAACAGCGUAAAUAUACAGUACUGAACUGUUUUCUAAAAUUACGGUGUCUUACCGUAAAUGCACACGUGAUCGGUGGGAGAGGGGGAACCAAAGGCUAGCUGACGCAUGGAGGAGAAUGGAUUCAGUCAAAGUUUUAUGGAUUUCAUCUCAAGUUGAGGCUCAUUUACAGGUAAGCAGAUCAAAGUCUGAAUACAUUUUUGUCUUAAACUGCAGCGUUUUUUUAAUGUGGGCACAAUAUUUUAAUUUACCUUUGACAAAUUUUGCCAAGACGGUGAACUAGCAUGUAUGCAAUUUUUACAAAUUUCUCCUGAAAGUUAAGUGUGUAUGUGUGUGUUUGUGAAUGAUUUGCAUCGUAUUUUUUUUCUUUCCUGGUGUAAAAUCCUGUAAAUGUUAAACUUGUAAAUAGUUAAAUAUAAAAUACUUGCGUUCGCUGAUUAUUUCAUUGGAUAUGAAUUGAACAUAUUCGGCAACGGUAGAAGAUGAGCACAUGAUCGGUGGGGGAGGGGAGCAACGGUUAGCGUCUGAUACCAGAGAAAAAGCAUCAUCAGUCUCAGUGAAUAAAACGGAUAUUAUCUCAAAUAUAAUCUCGAUUACAGAUUGCAGAUAACGAGGAUAUGAAGAACAUGAAGAUGGACUGGUUUCACAUGCAGAUGUUGCAGCAUCUGCAUCUGAUGUUGAGAAGACACUCAAUCUACCUGCCAAUCCUCAUCAGAUUUUGCUGGUGUCCAGUCAACAUUUUUGACUGCAGUUGCAACAGUGUUUGCUGUGUACUACAUCUUCAACCUGCAGUAUCAAGAGGCGGCUUGUUGCACGUUAGAAUUUUUUCAAAGUUUUUUCAGUUCAUCAUCUGAAACACUGUCAAAUGUGGUUUUAUUCGCAUGCCAGACACGGAGAAAAUAGGAGAAAGGCAUGUAGAUCCACAUUAAAUC
rnacentral:lncRNA from 1 species